rnacentral:rRNA from 1 species
UAUGCAGGCGGUUUUGUAAGCUUGAUGUGAAAUCCCCGGGCUUAACCUGGGAACUGCAUUGAGAACUACAAGACUAGAGUGUGUCAGAGGGGGGUGGAAUUCCGCGUGUAGCAGUGAAAUGCGUAGAGAUGCGGAGGAACACCGAUGGCGAAGGCAGCCCCCUGGGAUAACACUGACGCUCAGAUACGAAAGCGUGGGUAGCAAACA